rnacentral:lncRNA from 1 species
GUGCUCGGUUCCUCUGCCCCUUUGCAGGCAACUAACCUUCGCUGCCCUGCUUUCGCUGCGUGCCCCCCCCGCCUCCACUUCCAGCUCCAGCUCUCCCCCUCUCCCCCCCCCUCUCCCUCUGAGAGCCUUCACAUCUCAGAGCAAACCUCCCGGCUUCUGCCAGCCGCGAACCUCGAGCGCCCACUAUUUUUAAAACAGGGAACUCAAAACUUUGCGAGGAAAGGGAGCGAGAGCGAGAAGAUUUCCCAAGAACUUGGAAACCAGACGGGGAAGGAGAGAGAGAGAGAGAGAGAGGGAGAGAGAGGAGGAGGAGAAGGAGGAGGAGGAGGAGACAGGUUCGAAGGAAAUGGCUUGAAAAUCGUUCCAAUGGAGGACGACCAGGGGCUCUUUUCGUCCCCAAAAUCGUGGGAGCUGAGCUACAGGUGGAAGGAAAAAGAGAAAGAAAAAGGGAAAAGAGCUUCAGGAUUAAGGGUUGAAGUUAAGAACAGCAGAGAACCAACUUCUCUUCAUUGCUUACUGCCCUGUGCUGCGAGCUGA